GACUCUGCGGGACCUGCUGCAGCCACUCCCAGUCCAAUCGAUUCUGCCGAGUGUGGGGCAGUGCCUCCCAUGACUCAAUUGUUUGGGUUUGUCACGGCUCGGACACCAAGAGCGCAGAAGCUCAUCCAGGAGAUGGUCAGUGAAGGUGCGCUGUUAUUUUCGGUGACUGAAGAGAUUGCGACCGGCGGAUCUGCAGUAGGCAGUAAUACUGGAGCACAAGUACAUCUGGCACCUGACAGUGCGUCUCCGCCUAUGCAGGAGCGCUGCCAGCCCAUCGGAUUCGUUCCACUGGAUGAUGAUGUGGCUUCUGAAGCCUGCCUGGAAUUGUUCCCAGUUCGGCAGGAGCAUAUUGGAUGGACUCCUAGGGUAGAAACUAGCAAGGAGGUAGAUCUUGACCUGAGCCUUAGCGCGCGUUCCCGGGCAUCGUCUGGGUCGCUCCUGUAAUAUUUGCUGCCGAGGCAACUUACGAACCUGGCCGAGUACAAUUUUGCUGAGAUUUCUUUGUUGUCUACCAAGCCGGCAAUCUUUUCUCUGUUAUUUCCAAGCCGGCAAUCUUUUCUCUGUUAUUUCCAGUGCAUUCGUUUGCAAUGUUGCUGGCCAUGCUUUUUCUUCUUGUAGUGAGUUACUUUUUUGUACUAGUAAUAACCUUAAUAGCAUCAGAUUUGGACUGCGGACCGGUUGGAGCGGUGUGGUUGGGAAAAUUGUGGACUUUGCCCACUUUGCAAGAGGGAGCAAGAAUCAGGCAUCCACCUUUUCGUCAAGUGUCGCUUCUCCAUUCGGCUCUGGCGAUUAGUCAUUGACAAGUUUGGUCUUGCGCACAUUGACACCUCCGAUUGGCACCUUGAGGACUCUCUUAUGCAUUGGUGGGAUAGAAGAACUGACAUGCGAAAUCCAGACAAACGAGCGAUGGCCUCCCUCACCAUGCUCGUCUCUUGGACUCUGUGGAAUGAGAGAAACGCUCGGGUGUUUCGCCACAAGAGUGCGCCACCGCCUAUUCUUCUUCAAAAUAUUUUGCUGGAGGCCAACCUGUGGGUUACAGCGGGUGCUAAGAAACUAGGGCGUAUUGUUGUACGAGAGUAAUUGCCAUGCGGUUUUUUUGUAGGGUCACUUGCAAUCUGUCAAACUCUAUUCUCCUCUUAUUUAAUGGAUGAGGCAAAUCUUUUACCUCCGUUUCAAAAAAAAAAUAACCUUAAUAGCUAAGCUAUUAAACUGAUGUGUUGUUCCAAAAUGGAGUAUUUAUUUAACCUUAAUAGCUAAAGUGAC
rnacentral:lncRNA from 1 species